UACGUAGGUGGCAAGCGUUGUCCGGAAUUAUUGGGCGUAAAGCGCGCGCAGGCGGUCCUUUAAGUCUGAUGUGAAAGCCCACGGCUCAACCGUGGAGGGUCAUUGGAAACUGGGGGACUUGAGUACAGGAGAGAAAAGUGGAUUCCACGUGUAGCGGUGAAAUGCGUAGAGAUGUGGAGGAACACCAGUGGCGAAGGCGACUUUUGGCCUGUAACUGACGCUGAGGCGCGAAAGCGUGGGAGCA
rnacentral:rRNA from 1 species